AUUGUGUCACAAAUACUAUUGCAUGACAUAACUUUAUGAUUAGAAAUUGUUCUAUAAUAUUUGAAAACUUUUAAAUUGUUCAUUUUAAUCGUUUUCUUUAGUCCGCUUUUAUAUCGACGCCACUAGAUCAAUAUUUUUGGAGGUAGACAAAAAAUGAAGAGUUCACAGGUAGCUGUUUUCCGCGGGAAUAUAAUAAAUACUAAUUUUUCUCAAUAUACAGUAUUACAGCUCUAUAUGAACUGUCAACUUAUAAGUAAAUGAGGCUUGGAUAAAAGCUUAAAACUGUGCGUUAGCAACCGUUGAAGUGGAAGCCAAUAGGUUAACACCUGUAUAAAAAAUGAAGUUAACUUUCUUCAAAUAUUUUAACUGUCUAAUAGCGUCUCACUAACGUAGUCCGUUUAGAAUUUUUCAAACUGAACGAAAACGAUAACCAACUAAGCUCAUGUAAUGAUAUCCAUAUAUCAUACACAAUGAACAUUUCUUAUAGUCAAUUAAUAUGACAUGUUAUUGUAAUUAUUAUUUACUAAUAUAUAAUUCACUAAUGUAUAAAGUCUAAAUGUCAUGAUAUAGUCAUUAUACAUAUCAAAGUACU